rnacentral:rRNA from 1 species
CCUACGGGAGGCAGCAGUAGGGAAUAUUGCUCAAUGGGGGAAACCCUGAAGCAGCAACGCCGCGUGGAGGAUGAAGGUUUUCGGAUUGUAAACUCCUUUUGUUAGAGAAGAUAAUGACGGUAUCUAAAGAAUAAGCACAGGCUAAUUCCGUGCCAGCAGCCGCGGUAAUGCGGAGGGUGCAAGCGUUACUCGGAAUCAGUGGGCGUAAAGAGCGCGUAGGCGGGAUAGCAAGUCAGAUGUGAAAUCCUAUGGCUUAACCAUAGAACUGCAAUUGAAACUGUUAUUCUAGAGUAUAGGCGAGGUAGGUGGAAUACUUGGUGUAGGGGUAAAAUCCGUAGAGAUCAAGAAGAAUACUCAUUGCGAAGGCGACCUGCUAGAACAUAACUGACGCUGAUGCGCGAGAGCAUGGGUAGCAAACAGGAUUAGAUACCCGUGUAGUC